rnacentral:rRNA from 1 species
GAUGAACGCUGGCGGCGUGCCUAAUACAUGCAAGUCGAGCGAACAGACGAGGAGCUUGCUCCUCUGACGUUAGCGGCGGACGGGUGAGUAACACGUGGAUAACCUACCUAUAAGACUGGGAUAACUUCGGGAAACCGGAGCUAAUACCGGAUAAUAUAUUGAACCGCAUGGUUCAAUAGUGAAAGACGGCUUUGCUGUCACUUAUAGAUGGAUCCGCGCCGCAUUAGCUAGUUGAUAAGGUAACGGCUUACCAAGGCAACGAUGCGUAGCCGACCUGAGAGGGUGAUCGGCCACACUGGAACUGAGACACGGUCCAGACUCCUACGGGAGGCAGCAGUAGGGAAUCUUCCGCAAUGGGCGAAAGCCUGACGGAGCAACGCCGCGUGAGUGAUGAAGGUCUUCGGAUCGUAAAACUCUGUUAUUAGGGAAGAACAAAUGUGUAAGUAACUAUGCACGUCUUGACGGUACCUAAUCAGAAAGCCACGGCUAACUACGUG